rnacentral:rRNA from 1 species
AUGCAGAAGCCAAGCGUGGACGAGCAGCCUCUGCUCGGACCCGUGGAGAGGAGCGAGCAUGUGGCGGCGUUGGAGGAGGCGAAGCGACUGCUGCGGCUGGCCGGGCCUCUGGCAGCGGGCGGCAUCCUCCGGUCCGCGCUCCAGCUGGUGUCCGUGAUGUUCGUGGGCCACCUUGGUGAGCUUCCCCUCGCCGGAGCCUCGCUCGCCACCUCCCUCGCGAACGUCACCGGCUUCAGCUUGCUGGUGGGCAUGUCGAGCGCCCUGGACACGCUGUGCGGACAGGCGUUCGGCGCACGGCAGUACCACCUCCUCGGCCUCUACAAGCAACGGGCGAUGGUAGUGCUGGCGCUCGCCUGCGUCCCCAUCGCCCUCGUCUGGUCCAACACCACCCGGAUCCUCCUGCUCCUCGGCCAGGACCCGGCCAUCGCUGCAGAGGCCGGCUCCUACGCGCGGUGGCUCCUCCCGGCCCUCGUCCCGUACGUCCCUCUUGUGUGCCACAUCCGGUUCUUGCAGACGCAGAGCAUCGUCGUGCCGGUCAUGGUCAGCUCCGCCGUCACGGCACUGAACCACAUCCUCAUCUGCUGGGCGCUGGUGCACAAGUUGGGCAUGGGGAGCAAAGGCGCGGCGCUGGCCAGCACCGUCUCCUACUCCACGAACCUGGCCAUACUGUGCCUGUACACGAGGCUCUCCAGCGCCUGCAAGAGGACGUGGACUGGGUUCUCCAUGGAGGCCUUCAAGGAGCUGCGCCAGUUCGCCGAGCUCGCCGUGCCGUCCGCCAUGAUGGUUUGCUUGGAAUGGUGGUCGUUUGAACUGCUUGUGCUGCUGUCUGGUCUUCUGCCUAAUCCUAAGCUCGAAACCUCGGUAUUGUCGAUAUGUCUUAAUACGGGCGCUCUUAUGUUCACGGUGCCAUCCGGUCUCUGCGCAGCCAUAAGCACACGCGUUUCCAACGAACUUGGUGCUGGUAGGCCUCAGGUAGCGAGGCUGGCAACUAGAGUGGUCAUAUGCAUGGCCAUGUUUGCAGGCUCAGUAAUCUCCAUCACAAUGAUUUUGCUACGCAAAUCUUGGGGUUACAUGUACAGCAACGAGGAGGAAGUCGUUACAUAUAUUGCCAGGAUGAUACCUGUCCUCGGGGUAUCUUUCUUCAUUGACGGAAUCCACACUUCUCUUUCAGGUGUGCUAUAUGGAUGUGGUGAGCAGAAGAUUGGUGCACGGGUUAAUCUCGCCGCGUUCUACUUGGCAGGCAUCCCCUUGGCUGUGUUGCUUGCAUUCAUCCUGCAUUUGAAUGGAAUGGGGCUUUGGCUUGGCAUCGUUUGCGGCAGCCUCACUAAGCUUGUGUUGCUUGUGUGGAUCGUACAUUCCAUAAACUGGGAGAAUGAGUCAAUUAAAGCAAAAGACAUGGUGCUAGAAACUUCUCUCCCGGUUGCAUGA